AUUCUGAAUUAGAUCACAGGUCUGUCUCAA
rnacentral:piRNA from 1 species